GAAACAUAAGUGGCAUCACUGAGUUUUCAAAGAAUUUCGGUGGAGGAUGACUUCGCGGCCUAUCAGCUAGUUGGUGAGGUAAUGGCUCACCAAGGCAACGACUGGUAGCCGGCCUGAGAGGGCGACCGGCCACACUGGGACUGAGACACGGCCCAGACUCCUACGGGAGGCAGCAGUGGGGAAUAUUGGGCAAUGGAGGAAACUCUGACCCAGCGACGCCGCGUGCGGGAUGAAGGCCUUCGGGUUGUAAACCGCUUUCAGUAGGGAAGAAUUGAAAGUGACGGUACCUACUAAAGAAGCACCGGUUAACUAUGUGCCAGCAGCCGCGUUAAUACAUAGGGUGCAAGCGUUGUCCGGAAUUAUUGGGCGUAAAGAGCUCGUAGGUCGUUUGUUACGUCGGAUGUGA
rnacentral:rRNA from 1 species